CCUUAGUUACCAGGCACGUUAUGGUGGGCACUCUAAGGAGACUGCCGGUGACAAACCGGAGGAAGGUGGGGAUGACGUCAAGUCAUCAUGGCCCUUACGGGCCUGGGCUACACACGUGCUACAAUGGUCGGUACAAAGGGUUGCCAAGCCGCGAGGUGGAGCUAAUCCCAUAAAACCGAUCGUAGUCCGGAUCGCAGUCUGCAACUCGACUGCGUGAAGUCGGAAUCGCUAGUAAUCGUGAAUCAGAAUGUCACGGUGAAUACGUUCCCGGGCCUUG
rnacentral:rRNA from 1 species